ensembl:lncRNA ZNF561-AS1 ZNF561 antisense RNA 1 (head to head)
GGUUCAGGUGGCCGGUCGGGCUGGAAGGGCGGGGAUGAGGGAUGGGACGCAUCCCCGGGGGAUGCUCCUCCAAAGCUUUUAUCGGGCGAGCGCAGUGGCUCACGCCUGUAAUUCCUGCACUUUGGGAGGCUAAGGGUCUCACUCUAUUGUCUAGGCUCGAAUGCAGUGACGUGAUCAUGGAUCACUGCAGUCCUCAACUUACUGGGCUCAGGUAAUCCUCCCACCUCAACCUCCCAGGUAGCAGAGAUUACAGGUGCAUGCCACCACCAUCCUUGGCUGAAUUAAAAAAAAUUUUUUUGUAAAGACCAUAUUUCACCAUAUGCCCAGGCUGGUCCUGAAGUCCUAAUCUCAAGGAAUCCCCUGGCCUCAGCCUCCCGAAGUGCUGGGAUUACAGGUGUGAGCCAUCACAUCCAGCAUGGUUUUGAUUUUCAUUUUCAUGAUGUUUAGUGAUGUUGAGCAUCGUUUCAUGAGCAUCUUUUCGUGUGUUUAUUGGCCAUCUGUAUAUCUUCUUUGGUGAUAUUAUUCAAGUCCUUUUUCUGUAUUGAAAUGAGUUUUGUUGUUGUUACUCUUGGGUUCUAGAAAUUUUAAAAAUAAACUCUGGAUAUUUGUCCCCAGUCAGAUACAGGACUUGCAAAUAUUUUCUCCCAUUUGUAGAUUGUCUUUUUACUCUCUUGUUAUUAUGCUUUGAUGCACAAAAUUUGUAUCAUUGAUUAGGUUCAACUCAUAAUUUUUCUUGUGUUGCCUGUGUGGUUGAUGUCAUAACUGAGAAGUCAUUUCCAGUUGAAGCUUUCUCACCUAUGUUUUCUUCUAAUAGUUUUCCAGCUCUAGCUCUUACACUACACUAAGGUUUUUGAUCCAUUUUUAAAAAAUCAUGCCACAUUAUUAUUAUUAUUAUUAUUAAGAUGGAGUCUUGCUCUGUCACCCAGGCUGGAGUGCAGUGGCACAAUCUCAGCUCACUGCAAACUCUGCCUCCCAGGUUCAAGUGAUUCUCCUGCCUCAGCCUCCUGGGUAGCUGGGAUUACAGGCGCCUGCCACCAUGGCCAGCUAAUUUUUGUAUUUUUAGUAGAGAUGGGGUUUCACCAUAUUGGCUAUGCUGGUCUCGAACUCCUGACCUUGUGAUCCACCUGCCUUGGCCUCCCAAAGUGCUGGGAUUACAGGAUGAAAGGCUUCCUAGCACAAACACCACCCCUGGAGUUCCCGGUACAUCAAUACCAGCCUGGGGAUCACGUUCUCAUCAAGAGUUGGAAGAGGGAAAGCUUGAACCAGCUUAGGAGGACCUCAUCUGGUACUCUUGAUGAAUGAAACAGCAAUCUGAAUGGCUGAAAAAGGAUGGACCCAGCACUCCAGGGAGAAAACUUGGCAUUCUUUGGGAAUCUAACAGGAUGCAGUGAACCCAAGCCUUUUGAAGAGCUCACCAAUCAGACUGCCCUUGUCUAUCCAUGAGCAGAUGUUUGAUAGUAUUGCGGAGGCCCUCUAGUGGGUAUGCUGCCAAGCAACUGGAGUGGCACUUGGGCUCUAAUCCAGUUGUCUAUCCCUUUCACCCUGGCAUUUCAUCAGCCAAACAAAAACCAACUAACUCAGAAAAAAAGGAAAGCCCCUCAAGGGUCCUUUGACCCCGAUAUCUACAUAGAUGCUAUCGGGGUCCCCUGAGGGGUACCAAACGAAUUCAAAGCUCGAAAUCAAAUAGCUGCUGGAUUCAAGUCUGUCCUUUUCUUGUGGUCUACUAUAAAUAAAAAUGUAGACUGGAUAAAUUACAUAUACUAUAACCAACAACGAUUUGUCAGUUACACCAGGGAUGCCAUUAAAGGAAUAGCUGAACAAUUGGGUUUCACCAGCCAAAUGGCCUGGGAAAAUAGAAUAGCUCUUGACAUGAUAUUAGUGGAAGUCCAAUGUUGUACCUGUAUCCCCAAUAAUACAGCCCCUGAUGUAACUAUCACUAAGGGUCUAUAAGGCCUCACCACUCUAGGAAAUGAACUAGCUGAAAAUUCGGGAAUGAAUGAUCCCUUUACAGGUGUAAUGGAAAAAAUGGUUUGGUAGAUGGAAAGGACUAAUGGCCUCUAUUCUCACCUCCCUUGUGAUCAUAAUAGGGGUGCUCAUUCUCUUAGGGUGCUGUAUUAUACCCUGUGUCUGCGGACUAGUUCAAAAGCUCAUAGAAACAGCCCUUACCAAGACCUCCCACAACUCUCCCCCACCCUAUUCAGAUAAACGUUUAUUUCUAAGCAACCAAGAAGAGCAGUGAAGCCAGAUCCUGUUAGAAAUAUAUGAAGAGGAAGGACUACAAAAUCAAAAGGGGAAAAUUAUUAGACAAAAUGAGUUGCUCUACAAAGGUCCAACUUCGUUGUCCUUUGUUCUGUAACCUUUGUUCUGUAAACUGCCCUUCCCGCAGAAACUGUCUUUCCCGCCGACCAAAACUGCCCUUCACUAUCACUGUAAUCCAUACCCCUACUCUAUUUGAAACUGCCAAUCGGGAUCAGCUUACAUUGUGUGGUUCAACCACCAGCCAAUGAGGAAAAAACACAGAAGCAAAAGCUAUGAUGCAUUAGGGUUAAAAACCCCUUCCUUUCCCUGUCCAAUGUGCUCUUGAGACUGCUACAGGCGCAAGCAGCCACCUUCUGCAGAAGUAAACCUUGCCUUGCUGAGAAAUUUUUCUUUUGAGUGCUGGUCUCUCUCUGUGGCACCAAGAACUUAUUUCUAACAUGGAGUGAUUUCCAAGAUAGAUGGUUAAGUGAAAAUAAAAACUGUUGCCAGGCACGGUAGCUCAUGCCUGUAAUCCCAGCACUUUGGGAGUCUGAGGAGGUUGGAUUAUUUGAGGUCAGGAGUUUGAGACCAGCCUAGCCAACAUGGUGAAAUCCUGUCUCUUCUAAAUAUACAAAAAAUUAGCCGGGCGUGGUUGUGGGUGCCUGUAAUCCCAGCUACUUGGGAAGCUGAGGCAGAAGAAUUGCUUAAACCCAGGAAGCAGAGGUUGCAGUGAGCCGAGAUCACAGCACUGCACUCCAGCCUGGGUGAUAGAGUGAGACUCGGUCUCAAAAACAAUAAUAAUAAUAAUAAUAAUACAAAUAAAAAAAUGAAAAUAAAGGCCAGGUGCUGUGGCUCACCCCUCUAAUCCCAGCACUUUGGGAGGCUGAGGCAGGUGGAUCACAAGGUCAGGAGUUCAAAACCAGCCUGGCCAAGAUGGUGAAACCCCGUCUCUACUAAAAAUACAAAAAUUAGCUGGGCACAGUGGCAGGCGCCUGUAAUCCCAGCUACUUGGGAGGCUGAGGCAGGAUAAUUGCUUAAACCUGGGUGGCAGAGGUUGCAGUGAGCCAAGAUCAUGCCACUGCACUCCAGCCUGGGC